UAGGGAAUAUUAGAAAUGGACGCAAGUCUGAUCUAGCAACACCGCGUGUGCGAAGAAGGCCUUCGGGUCGUAAAGCACUUUUUGGAAGGAAUAGGAAGGAAUGUACUUCCGGAAUAAGUCUCGGCUAACUACGUGCCAGCAGCCGCGGUAACACGUAGGAGGCAAACGUUAUCCGGAUUUACUGGGCGUAAAGCGCGUGUAGGUGGUACUGUAAGUAGGGCGUGAAAGCUCCUGGCUCAACUGGGAGAGGCCGUUCUAAACUACAGAACUAGAGGAUGGUAGAGGGAGGUGGAAUUCCAGGUGUAGCGGUGGAAUGCACAGAUAUCUGGAGGAACACCGGUGGCGAAGGCAGCCUCCUGGACCAUUCCUGACACUCAGACGCGAAAGCUAGGGUAGCAAACGG
rnacentral:rRNA from 1 species